GGGCCUUCUAUUAUUUUGUUUUGAUUUGCUCCAGAUCUUUUUAGGUUUUUUUUCCUUGUAAAUCAUCUCCCAAUGCAAAAUGAAAUUUGAUAACUAAUAUAUUGCUAAAUGCAUACUGCUGCUGGAAUCAAUCUAUAAUACUAGCCAUGGCUGAGGGUAAAACUAGAGCUCCAGUUAGACUUGAGGGCAAGUAUGGUGCAAUGCUUGUCUGUUGGGUUUUGGGCAAUGGAUGCCUCUUCUCUUGGAACAGUAUGUUAACUAUUCAGGACUACUAUGUCGCCCUCUUUCCGAAUUACCAUCCCUCAAGGGUCCUUACACUCAUUUAUCAACCAUUUGCAUUGGGAACACUUGCAAUAUUGGCUUACAAUGAAGCAAAAAUUAACACCAGGAAAAGGAAUCUUUUUGGAUAUACUCUUUUCUUUAUCGCUACAUUCAUAGUUCUUGUUUUGGAUUUAGCUACAUCUGGUAAGGGAGGAUUAGGAAGUUUUAUUGGGAUAUGUUCAUUAGUGGUGCCUUUGGAGCUGCAGAUGCUCAUGUGCAAGGUGGAAUGAUUGGAGACCUUUCAUUCAUGUUACCUGAAUUUUUGCAGUCUUUCCUUGCUGGCUUGGCUGCCUCUGGUGCUCUAACAUCUUCGUUAAGACUAAUUACCAAAGCAGCAUUUGACAAUUCACAGCACGGUCUUCGAAAGGGUGCAAUUCUGUUCUUCGCGGUAUCCACACUCUUUGAGCUGCUUUGUGUCCUCCUAUAUGCAUUUGUCUUCCCUAAGCUACCAAUAGUGAAGUACUAUCAUGCAAAAGCAGCUUCAGAGGGAUCAAAGACAGUUGCUAGUGACCUUGCUGCAGCCGGAGUUUACAAACAAGGACCAGAAACAAAGGAUGAGCAUGAUCCUCAACAAGUUGAGCGACUUAACAACAAAGAAUUGUUAUUGCAGAACAUAGACUAUGCAAUAGAUUUGUUUCUGAUAUAUGCUUUAACAUUGUCGAUUUUCCCUGGAUUCUUGUCUGAGGAUACUGGAUCUCACAGCUUAGGAUCAUGGUAUGCACUUGUCCUUAUCGCUAUGUACAAUGUGUGGGAUCUCAUAGGGAGAUACAUCCCACUAAUCAAAUGCUUAAAGCUGGAAUCGCGGAAAGGGCUGAUGGUAGUGAUUCUUUUGCGUUCUCUAUUUGUCCCAGCUUUCUACUUCACAGCCAAAUAUGGUGAUCAAGGAUGGAUGAUUAUGUUAACAUCCUUGUUGGGAGUAAGUAAUGGGCACCUCACAAUGUGUGUCCUCACUUGUGCACCAAAAGGUUACAAGGGACCAGAGCAAAAUGCACUAGGAAAUCUUCUAGUUUUGUUUCUUUUAGGAGGUAUAUUUGCUGGUGUAACUCUAGAUUGGUUGUGGCUUAUAGGCAAAGGUUGGUAAAGCAUCCAUUUUAGCUACUUCCCAAAAUUUGGAAUAGUUAUCUAAUUUCAUUCAAUGUAUAUAUAUGAUGUUCUCUUUUGGCAUUAAA